rnacentral:rRNA from 1 species
AGGGCACCACCAGGAGUGGAGCCUGCGGCUUAAUUUGACUCAACACGGGGAAACUCACCCGGCCCGGACACCGGAAGGAUUGACAGAUUGAUAGCUCUUUCUUGAUUCGGUGGAUGGUGGUGCAUGGCCGUUCUUAGUUGGUGGAGCGAUCUGUCUGGUUAAUUCCGAUAACGAACGAGACUCUAGCCUAUUAAAUAGACGUCGGGUUCUCUGCACUCGACGGUCUUCUUAGAGGGACAAGGUGCUUUUAGCACCGCGAAACAGAGCAAUAACAGGUCUGUGAUGCCCUUAGAUGUCCGGGGCCGCACGCGCGCUACACUGAAGGAAGCAGCGUGUAACAACCUUGUUCUAACGAACUGGGUAACCCGUGGAACUUCCUUCAUGAUUGGGAUAGGGGUUUGCAAUUGUGCCCCUUGAACGAGGAAUUCCCAGUAAACACUAGUCAUCAGCUAGUGCUGAUUACGUCCCUGCCCUUUGUACGCACCGCCCGUCGCUACUACCGAUUGAAUGGUUUAGUGA